GGGCGGUUAGCUCAAUUGGCAGAGCACUUCGUUUACACCGAAGGGGUUACAGGUUCGAGUCCUGUACGGCCCA
rnacentral:tRNA from 1 species